UGUGCGUGGCUCCUUUGGGACAGGGCGUGGUCAUGAGGGUGUGGCCCAAUGGGAUUGGGGGAGUUUUGGGGUGGGGCUUCCUGGAGGUGUGACCAGAGGGGGCGUGGCUUGAAGGGGUGUGUCCUCCUGACCACGCCCCUCUCCCUCCCCAGAUCUUUUACUACUCGACGUCCAUCUUUGAGGGGGCGGGGCUACAGGACCCGGCCGUCGGCACCAUCGGCACGGGCGUGGUCAAUGUGGCCGCCACUGCCCUGUCGUGGGCGUGGCCAGGUGUGGGCGUGGCCUCAGUGAAGCCCCGCCCCUGCAGGUGGUGCUGGUGGAGCGGGCGGGGCGCCGGCUGCUGCAGCUCGUGGGGCUCCUGGGAAUGAUGGUGUGCGCCGUCACCCUGGGCGUGGCCCUCAAGGUGAGCUGGGACCCCAAAAUUUACCUGGACCCCACC
rnacentral:lncRNA from 1 species